GCCUGGGUGGCUCGGUCGGUGUAAGCAUCUGACUUCAGCUCAGGUCAUGAUCUCACAGUCCGUGAGUUCGAGCCCCGUCUCAGGCU
rnacentral:tRNA from 1 species